rnacentral:miRNA from 1 species
GGCCGGAUGAUUCUGCUGCAGAGGGCCACACCCCCCGCAGGGCGCCCUCGGGGCAAGGAAGGCCUGCGGCUCUGGGUCUCCGGGGACC